rnacentral:rRNA from 1 species
AAACCGGUGCUAAUACCAAAUACCUUCUUUAUCUCGCAUGGGAUUCUGAAGAAAGAUUUAUCGCUUUGGGACGGGCUCGCGGCCUAUCAGCUUGUUGGUGAGGUAAUGGCUCACCAAGGCUUCGACGGGUAGCUGGUCUGAGAGGACGAUCAGCCACACUGGGACUGAGACACGGCCCAGACUCCUACGGGAGGCAGCAGUGGGGAAUCUUGCGCAAUGGGCGAAAGCCUGACGCAGCAACGCCGCGUGGAGGAUGAAGGCUCUCGGGUUGUAAACUCCUUUCAGCAGGGAAGAAAUUGACGGUACCUGCAGAAGAAGCCCCGGCCAACUACGUGCCAGCAGCCGCGGUAAGACGUAGGGGGCAAGCGUUGUCCGGAUUUAUUGGGCGUAAAGAGCUCGUAGGCGGCUUAGCAAGUCAGAUGUGAAACCCUCAGGCUUAACCUGGGGCCGCCAUCUGAUACUGCUAUAGCUAGAGUUCGGUAGGGGACCAUGGAAUUCCUGGAGUAGCGGUGAAAUGCGCAGAUCUCAGGAGGAACACCAGUGGCGAAGGCGGUGGUCUAGGCCGAUACUGACGCUGAGGAGCGAAAGCGUGGGGAGCGAACAGGAUUAGAUACCCUGGUAGUCCACGCCGUAAACGUUGGGCACUAGGUGUGGGACCUUUCGACGGGUUCCGUGCCGUAGCUAACGCAUUAAGUGCCCCGCCUGGGGAGUACGGCCGCAAGGCUAAAACUCAAAGGAAUUGACGG